rnacentral:rRNA from 1 species
CAGUAGCCGCGGUAACACGAAGGGUGCAAGCGUUAAUCGGAAUUACUGGGCGUAAAGCGUGCGUAGGCGGUUUGUUAAGUCUGCUGUGAAAUCCCCGGGCUCAACCUGGGAAUGGCAGUGGAUACUGGCAAGCUAGAGUGUGUCAGAGGAUGGUGGAAUUCCCGGUGUAGCGGUGAAAUGCGUAGAGAUCGGGAGGAACAUCAGUGGCGAAGGCGGCCAUCUGGGACAACACUGACGCUGAGGCACGAAAGCGUGGGGAGCAAACAGGAUUAGAUACCCGAGUAGUCCCUGUCUCUUAUAC